UACGAGGGGGGCUAGCGUUGCUCGGAAUCACUGGGCGUAAAGGGCGCGUAGGCGGCCUGGCAAGUGGAAGGUGAAAUCCCUCGGCUUAACCGAGGAACUGCCCUCCAAACUGCUUGGCUUGAGACCGGGAGAGGUGAGUGGAAUUCCCAGUGUAGCGGUGAAAUGCGUAGAUAUGACAUAGAACACCAAUUGCGAAGGCAGCUCGUUACACGAAGAUUGACUCUGAGGCACGAAAGCGUGGGGAGCGAACAGG
rnacentral:rRNA from 1 species